UGGGGAAUAUUGCACAAUGGGCGCAAGCCUGAUGCAGCCAUGCCGCGUGUAUGAAGAAGGCCUUCGGGUUGUAAAGUACUUUCAGCGGGGAGGAAGGUGUUGUGGUUAAUAACCACAGCAAUUGACGUUACCCGCAGAAGAAGCACCGGCUAACUCCGUGCCAGCAGCCGCGGUAAUACGGAGGGUGCAAGCGUUAAUCGGAAUUACUGGGCGUAAAGCGCACGCAGGCGGUCUGUCAAGUCGGAUGUGAAAUCCCCGGGCUCAACCUGGGAACUGCAUCCGAAACUGGCAGGCUUGAGUCUUGUGGAGGGGGGUAGAAUUCCAGGUGUAGCGGUGAAAUGCGUAGAGAUCUGGAGGAAUACCGGUGGCGAAGGCGGCCCCCUGGACAAAGACUGACGCUCAGGUGCGAAAGCGUGGGGAGCAAACA
rnacentral:rRNA from 1 species